GUGCUCACUUCAGCAGCACAUAUUCUAAAAUUGGAACAAUGCAGAGAAGAUUAGCAUGGCCCUAGGGCAAGGAUAACAUGAAAUA
rnacentral:snRNA from 1 species